UCCAGUGGUCAACUGCAUGUAGACUACACCAGGUGGAAAAGCAGUAUGGGCCUGUGCUCCUUGGAGGAUGUGACAGGGGCUGAGCCUUGUGGACAAGACUCUCUUACCAAGGCGUUGUGUGAAAAAUGCACGUUAGAAUGAUAUGGAACCUUCUAGAUACAGCCACGUAUUCAAGGUACAAAUAUGCCAACAAUCAGCACAUCUAUUCCACGUUGCCUUGAAGGUCUCCUUCUUAGCUGCACAGCAAGACGAGGAAAACAACAGAAGGGAUCGGGCCCAGAAGGAAGAUGCCCAACUGUCAUUCAGAGAUGACAUUAUCUUCUACAUAGAAGACCCAGGAGAACCCGCGGAAAGAUGACUAAGA